AAUGGCCGCAGUAUUUUGACUGUGCAAAGGUAGCAUAAUCAUUAGUUUCUUAAUUAGAAACUGGAAUGAAAGGUUGGACGAGAAAAUAUCUGUCUCUUUUUUAAUUAUUUGGAAUUUUAUUUUUAAGUUAAAAAGCUUAAAUUUUUUUAAAAGACGAGAAGACCCUAUAGAAUUUUAUAUAUUUAAAUUUAAAUAAUUUUAUUAGUAUGUUAAAAAUUUUAAUUUGUGUAUAUUUAGUUGGGGUGAUUGAAAAAUUUUAUAAACUUUUUUUCUAUAAUUACAUUAAUUUAUGAAUUUUUGAUCCAUAAAAAUGAUUAAAAGAUUAAAUUACCUUAGGGAUAACAGCGUUAUUUCUUUGAAGAGUUCUAAUCAAUAAAGAAGUUUGCGACCUCGAUGUUGGAUUAAAAUUUAUUUUUGGUGUAGAAGCUAAAAAAUUAGGUCUGUUCGACCUUUAAAAUUUUACAUGAUCUGAGUUUAAACCGGUGUGAGCCAGGUUGGUUUCUAUCUUUAAAUAUUUCAUAUAUUUUAGUACGAAAGGACCAGAUAUAUAUAAUAAUUAUGGGUAUUUGAAUAUUAGUAAUAUCA
rnacentral:rRNA from 1 species